AUACUGACUGCAAGACUCUUAGCUUUUGGUUUUCACCCCUGCGAGUUUCCCAAAUGCAGGAAACUUGACUGUACAAUUUUGUGGUAAUGGGGGAACUGUGUUUGUGCUUUCCCUCU
rnacentral:snRNA from 1 species